GUCUUUGCGGUGUAAUGGUAGCACACUCGGCGCGUAUUCGAGAGGUUCAGGUUCGAGUCCCGGCAAAGGCA
rnacentral:tRNA from 1 species